CUUUGGAGGUCACUUCAGCCAAGCUUACCCUGUCUACAAUCCUGCCUUGCGGGCUGCCCAGGCCGGAGAUAGGGAGCUUAGCUUCAGCUAGGAGCCUAGUCUUGUUGUCAGACAAUGUUAUUAGCAACAACCAUAUCGUUACCAAUAAUAUUGUUAUGGUUCGCGGGGUUCAAUCCUCCCUGUCUUAAGCGGAAUUGUCCGCAUUUCUCUGAAGCCUAUUCCUCAUUUGGUAAAUCAAGUCAACAGUGACUUAUUCAUCAGAUCUUUGCAUGUCUGGGUCAUGUGCAUUCACAACUUCUUUGAGCACCAGAUGAAAUCAGUGACUUCAAACAUUAAAGGGAACAUCUAAUGAACAUCUAGAAGAACCAAUUAUUUGUCAGUCAACCAAUAUGGCUUCCUCAAGAAUAUGUCAUGCAAACAACUCUGAAAGACAUACUCAUCAGUGCAAUGAUCAGCCACAAUUCUAGAGGUCUCUUAAUGAAAUGUUAUCUACCUCCUGACAGAGAAGUGGUACACUCAAGUUGCAAAAAGGGACAUACAUUUUCUUGAAUAGUAAACGUGAGAAUUUAUUUUGCUUGAUCAUGAGUAUUUGUUACAAUAGUUUUGAUUUUCCUUUUUGCACGUGGGAUAGGGAGGUAAAGAAUGGGAACAGAGCUUUAAAAAAAAAAAAGAAAAAAGGCCCUUCAAAUAUGUUUUGGAAACAUACCAAAGAAGAACAGAAGCAAGGCCAGAAGGAAUUUGAGAUAAGCAGGACAGCUUUGAAAAUAACAUGUUGAAUUUAUCAUGUAAUUUUUUAAAGGUGAACUCUCCACAAUACAUAUUUGUCGGUUUCACAUACAACCAAAUUUCUGUUCUGUGUAUAGGAAAAUAUUCAUUUUAUUUGAUGUGUUAAGAUUUUUUUUUUCAAAAGGGGGAAAAAGAACAUUUCAGAAUGAAUGUAUUUCCUUUGUGGAAGUCAUUAAAUUGAUAGAUCAGGCAAAUGCUAUAAAUAUAAUUUACUCAUAUUUUUAACAAAACAUUUACUAAUGCCAUCCUUAUGAGAAAGACGGAAGGAUAUGAAUUAACUGGAUGGAGAAAUUAAAAAAAAAUUAAGUGCUUACUACAUGCAAAGCACUAGGGAUGACCAAAAGAAAAACUACACCAUCCUUGCUUCUAAGGAGUUCACCUUCUAAUAGAGAGAGACAACAUAUGUAGGAAGUUUCAGCAGCAGGUCAAAUAGAAAGGACCCAUAAUUCUUAGGGUAAUGAUAAAGCAGAUGGUAAUACAUCUUUUUAAAUGUUAUUUCUGUUGAUAGAACCAUUUUCAUUUCUGAUGUUGAAUCAUUUGAUGGGAUUUUGGCGGCCAAAGAUAAAGCUUUAAUCCAAAUUAUAGCUCAAACCAGUUGACAAAUAAACAAAUACUAUUUCCACCAGGACAAAGCCAGCUGAGAGAGCCAGAUGUGCAGAACUGGCAGAAGGAUGACAAUCACUGAAUAGAAAAGGCAGAAAUGUAAAUUAUUUGCAUAUCAUGCAGAAGAACAGAAUAAUGCAUCCAUAUGCACACUAUGUUUAUAAGACAGAUUCUGUAUUUCAAGCUCCAGUGCUCUUAAUACUUUUUCUAAGUAACACUUUUCAAUACCAUUAUUCACAUAAUUUCUUUUAGCAAAAAUACAUAAAUAUAUGCAUAUGUGUGUAUACAUAAAUUUUGCCUAAGAUAUAAACUGAUGGUCACAGCUUGAAAACAUUAUUUUAAAGUAAACUCAAUUCAAAUAAUUCACAUAAACAAAAGUCAAGUUGAUAAAUCACUAAGCACUCAUUAAGCAUAUAAAAAGCACUGGCUAGCUUCUAAGCACUACUUUAUAAAUAUUUUAGAAUUUAGAAUUUAUAGCUAAAGUCUUUAACUGAGUAAUCUUACACAUAUACUUGGCUAUUAUGGUUAUAGUGUCAAUGGAAAAAUACUAGAUAAAGAAUAGGAUUAUCCCCACUGCCUGGAAUGCACUCCUUAUAGCUGCAUCAUGAUAGCCAUCUCUUCCUUAAAAGAUACUGUUUAGACAUCAUCUUCUGCAUGAAGCCUCUCUUGAAUCCCCCAGAUACCACUGAGCUAUCUCCUAUACUAUCUAGCAUUUAACUACUUUGUGUGUGUUUAUGUGUGUGUACAUACACACAUACACACUUGUCAUAUAUAACUUUUGUAUUUAUAUAUGUAUGUUGUCUCCCUCAGUAUGGUGUCAGUUCAUUGUAAGUACAAAUCUUUUUAGUCUUUAUGCUUGUGUCUCCAAUGCUUAUAAGCACAGUGCCUGACAGAGCAAAUGCUUAAAAAAUACUUGACUGUUAAAGGUAUCGCUAAAAAUUAUUGGUGACUGAUUUUCACUAGAUAUUUUCUUCAAUAUUCCUUCCUUUUCUUCCUUUGCUGCAGUGAUGCUCCCCUUCUAACAAAGAAAAAAAAAAAAAAAGCUCAGCAAGACCAACUGGUAUAACAAUUUCUGACUGUAUAUAAAACGUUUUAUAUCAAGAUACCACUAUCUUUUUAAUAUAAGGUAUUUCCUGGACUAGAUAGUCACUGAGGUACAUCCCAACUCUGAAAAUCAGAAUCAUACAGCUAGUAAAUACGGUAGGAAAUGUUCAUUACCAGUUCUCUCAAAUCAAAAUUUCCUCCUGAAUCUGAAGAUUGAUGAGGAGACUUAGGAAUCUUUUAGUCAUGUUAGCCCUUCAAAUUUAUCAUGUUAUCAUGAUCUCAAAAUUCAUCUCUAGGGUACCCUCCCUAGUUAUUCAAUUCUUUUUACCUCAUAUCUGUUACUGAUAUUUUAAAAAUGUGGCCAUCAAAAUUAAAUAUAUUACUCAGAUGUUGUCUGAUUAGGUAUAGAAUACAGUGAAGAGUUUCCCUUUCCAGUUUGGACAGUGACUUGGUGUAAUAGAAAACUAAAUUUCAAGGCAGAAAUCUUAGGCCUGCAGUCUUAACUCUGACACUGUGUGUCUAGAGAUUACCCCCUCUUAUUUACCUAACUCAAAACCUCUCUCCUGACUUCCAUUCUCACAUCUUCAAUACUUACUGGGCAUCUCAAUCUGAAUGUCCAAUAGAUAUCUUAAAUACAGCAUGUCCAAAGCAACUUAUUUCUCUCCCAAACCUUCCAUUCUUCCAAACUAUCCACUAUUUCCAGCUACCUGGAUUCAAGAUCUAGUUAUCCUUGAUUCUUCACUCACCUUCUAUAUUUAAUAUAUUACCAGGUCCUGUCAAUUCUAUCUUUCUAAGAGGUCUCAUGUACUCCCUUUUCUUACACAGUGGCAAUACUGGUGCAAACUGCAAUCAUCUCACACCUGGAUUAUUGCAGUAAUAGCCUUCUGAUUGGUCUCUCUGUUUCAAGUCUCUCCCUACUCCAGUUCAUCAUCCACUUAGGAAAACUCCACUGGCUUUUUAUUACCUAAGAAUUAAAUAUAAAAAAUCUUUGGCUUUUAAAGUCCUUUACAACCAGGGCCCCUUCUAUCUUUUCAAACUGCUUACAUUUUAUUCCCUUCUAUGACUACUACAGUCUAAGGACACUGGCCUUCCUGUGCCUUGAACAGAAAAUUCAAUAAUCUCCAAUUUCUAGCUUUCUUUAUAUCCCUGUUAAAAUCUCACAUAAUAUAAGACUUUCCUAUUCUUCCUUAAUGCUAGUGCCUUCCUUCAAAGAUUAUCUCCAACUUGCAUCAAUUGCAUAUGUUCUUUUCUUGUACAUAGUUUGCAUGUUGUUUUCCCCAUUAAAUUGUGAGUAACUUGAGAGUAGCAAUUUGGCGGAAGAGGGUGUGUGUCUUUCUCUGUAUCUUCAGCACAUAGCCCAGCACAAAGUACUUACUUAAUACAUUCUUACUGACACAACCUCCAGGUAUUAUGAGGUUAUAUAUGGUAUAAAGGAAAAAGCCAAAAUUGGUUUUAAAUAAGCCUAACUUGAAUCUAAUUUUGCUUUUUUUUAAAGUAAAAAAAAAAUUAUUCUCUCUUCAUCAAGUCUCUCAGUCACUUUAAACUCUUGCCCUGGGGCAGAGAUAAUUGCCAAAUUUUAAUUGAAUCAUAAUUCUGCCAUGUUAAUCAUCUUACCCUCCUAGCCUUUUCAACAAAUUUACUAAGCUUUAUGUUUUUGGAAAAAAAAUGUUAAUAUAUACAACAGGGCCAAGGAUAGAGCUAUGAAAAAGUUCCUUCAUGUUGGCACUUGGAGUAUGAUUGCUAUAUAUCUGCCUGCCCAUUUUAUUAUUCAAUCCAUAGUACUCUAUCUUAUUUUCCUAUAUAUAUAUAAAUUUAGGUCAAAGUCUGAAUCUACACAAGAAUAAUGUUAAAAGUGGGCAAUAGUAUAAUUUAUCCUAACAGUUUGGUGUGAAACUGGAACAACUUCUGGUAAAUUAGCUUUUAAGAAUUCUGGAGAGAAAAAUUAACAUUUCAGACAUUUCUAAGAGCCAAGUUCUGGUUUGUACUAUGUCCAAACUCAUCAAGGGUCAAGGGGAUAUGGAUUUCAGUUAGCAAAGAAGAGAGAAAAAACUGCAUUUAUUCAUAGUCAAAAGCUUAUAAAGAUACAUAAUCCAGAGAUAGGCUUGCUGAAAGCCUGGAAAUUACCUUCAAUUAGUUUUGUAAAUUCACAUGGAAAAGGAGGAAGAAAAGAACCUUUAUUUGUUAUUUAGUCUUCUAUCUGAACAGCCCAUCAAAUUUGUUAACUGAAAACUGUGAAACAUUAGCUGUGAAUUAUAGUAGAGAAUAUAAGUGAGGCAGCUAGAUGGCGCAGUAGAUAGAGCACUAGCCUUAAUCUCAGACAUUUAAUACUUCCUAGUUGUGGGACCUUGGGCAAGUCACUUAACCCCAAUUGCCUCAACAACAAAAAAAAGAGAGAGAAUAUAAGUGCUAAUAAUAUUCACUACUAUGAAAAGUAUUUUUGCUUAUUGAGUAGGAAUAACCACACUGAAUUAUUCAUUAUGUAAUAAUCAGUUAUCAGAUAAUGUAAUAAUCAGAAAACUUUUCUCAGUUGUUAAAGAUUAAGUUAUGUACAACUUCUAUUACUGGAUCUUAAGGAGAGAUUAAGUACAUGGCCAUAUUCCCAAAAUUACUAUUACUAGGACUUCAAAAAUGCUUUAUUACACAGAAGUGUAUUUCCUCUCCGCCAUCUUGGCCGGAAGUUAAAAAUGCUUUAUUACAAUAAAUGAGAGAAAAGUAUAAACGAUUUCUUGCUUGCUACAGAAUAUGACAUUAACUGCCAUGGACUACUCAUUUCAGAGGUAUACCCCAAAUGUGGUUAUAAUUUGGGGACAUCUUUUUGAGGUUGUUAUCUGGGCAGGAAAAGCGAAGGCCUCUAGUAACAUCAUGAGAAAAGUUAUCAACUGAGUCUUCCAGAGAGCACUCCAUAGUAUAUCAUAUGUAAUAAUACAGGUAGGAAUCCCAGUUCCAGAAUCUGAGAAGUGUGAUUUAUCCAUUCUAACAGCAGAUGGCACCAUUACUCAACGUUUAGUAGCUCACCUACACUAUUUCCUCAGGCUAGCUUGAAAUUAAUGAAAUUUCCCUCCUUGAUAAUUCAUAUAAACGUGUGUAUAUAUAUAUAUGUUUAUGUCCUCCUUUAGAACCAAAGAAUUCUCACAAAAAUAUAACCAUAAAAAUCAUGCAAAGAUAGAUACCAGACUCAUAAACACACAACUAAAAUGGUUUCCCCUAAAUUUUAUUUCAGAAAAUUUACACAAAAAUACCCAAUCCAAUACUUACAGGUAAAUCUGUACAAAUCCCACAUGCUUCUUUCCUAUAAAAUAAGUUGUGUGAAAACAGCUUUAUGACAAGAAUUGCAUUUAAUUUAUGACCAUGGUAUAAGUAGAGCUUAUUGUAAACCUCACCAUCUCAUUUACAUUAUAGAGGUCAUUUUGAAUAAUAUACUCACUAAAGAGAAAGCAGAGAACUCAAUAUGCUCUUAUUUUCUAAACAGACUUAGUCUAGCACCAGUCUUUCAAAGCAAACUAAUUCUUUUUAGAUAAAAGCAAGCAAAGUAGAGUAUUAAUUAGCUUUAGAAUAAAAGCAGAGGGAUCUGGAGAAAGUUCCA